UGGGGUGUAGCUCACUGGUAGAGCAUUUGCCUGAUGUGCGUGAGACCCUGGGUUGAAUUCCCAGCUCCAUAA
rnacentral:tRNA from 1 species